rnacentral:lncRNA from 1 species
GGAAAGUUUUACUUUUACUUCUGGACCCACUGGGUAGCCUCAGGGCACGUGACAGUGUUCUCUAUUCCUAGUUAUGUUUGCAAGGGUAAAACAUAGAAGUUCUGUGGCUUUCAAACACACAAGCAACAACCACUACACAAAAACCUAUGGCGCUUCUUGGGUUGGGAUUUUGAGAUUGAACCCUAGGCGUUUCCUAAGCAAAACGAAUACCUCAAUGGGCUGCUGCCUCUAUCUGCAUGGUCUUCCUCUGGUACUGGAACCAUGUGAUAUAAAUUGCUGGUGAAUAAGUAUCUUGCUUAUAGAAACUCAGGCACCAACUGGAAGACCUAAAGGCUGUGGGUCAACUCCACCUGCAUCUAUGACAGCACAGCUCUAUAAACAAUGUUUAUAUGUUUUUAUUCAGAAAACAAAGAUAUCUCU